CAUUAUUUAGAGAAAAUUCGACGAGCGGAAAUAAUUUCUUUGUUUUACAUUUUCGAUUUUGACAUCGCAAGAUUGUCGUCUUUUUUCUGUAACAGAGAUAAAUUUUGGCGGAAAGUUCGACGAGAAAAGCACAUGGGAAAUCUUGGGAAUUGAUGUUCGUUGACUCGGACGAUAGUUGGGAUGAAGACGAUCGUUUCGAUCGAAAGUACCGAGCGAGACUAAUAUGAUUCGCGCGCGAAAUUGAGAUAAACGCCAAAGAUUUUCGCGCCAAGUUUUCCCCUGGACGUUAUUAAAUUGUGCUUUUCCGCCCGAAACAAUUAUACCGACAAACACAGUAUUAACUGCAUCCGGGAAAUUCCGUUAUAUAUCAAUUAUUUGUAUUACGAAAUAUUUUUUUAUUUGAUAUAUGUAAUAAUUUGGAGGCGAUCGAUAUCGUGACAAGAUGGAGAAAGUUAUCGGUAGAUGAUUGAGCGAAAUAAUAAUCCAAGUGCGACAUGCUAAAAGGAGCCGUCAUCGCUCCGUCACUUCUCGAAAAUAAGUUAACAAAAAAAAUAUCGACAGAGUAUCGUAAGGAGCAGUCGUAUUCUAGAAUCGGAGCAGAGGGAAGCGCAUUACUUCGUCGUAAACUGAAGCGAUCGUAAAUGCAUUAUACGACGCGAUCUCGUCGCACGACGAAAUAUGAUUUCCGGACAUCGAUGCGCGACGCUCUCUCGAGUGCUCUUUUUUCGCGAAGGUACAAAUACGUCCGCGCAGCGCAGUAGAAAGCAAGUCGAAUGUAUGGAAUAAAGAGCGGAGAUCCAAUUUGCGCAAUAUUCAGUUCAGAAAUGGAUUCCCUCUCAAAUGCGGACUGGAAAUGCAUUGCGUGCAUCAUGGAAAUUACGAGUAUCCAGGACUAGAACAUCGCCGCACGAUGGCAAUUAUGUUAACUGUAUGCAAAUAUUAGGUGAUGCUAUUCAGUCGAUUAUUGUAAAUGUUAGGAACAAUAGGAAAGCUUACGCGUUCACGUAAAUGAACGUUAUCUCAGUGGUGAGGGACCGAUCUGUGACUAAUAAUUUUAAAGUGUUGUUUUUAAGUACUGUCUAUUGAUGAUUUAUGAUCGUUUAGAAGGUUUGCACUCUGACAUUUGCUAUACCUCAAAGUGACUACCAAUGAUCGGAGUUCAAUUUGAAACUGUGGCACGAAUCAGCGAUUUUCUCUCAGAUGUCAAUGCUUUCGGUUUGGAUUUGAACUUUGGACGACUAAACUGACCGUGGAUUUCCCGAAGCAAACGACAAGUGCCCUACGGGAUAUUUGAUAUGGGAAUCUACGUCGAUGCUACGCUUUGCCGCUUUAUAGCCGCACAUCCAAAGCGACUUUUGUUUCUCUGAAUUUUUCAGAGAAGUCCACAUAACGUAUAAAAAAAAACAAA